rnacentral:rRNA from 1 species
GAGAAGUAAAAGUCGUAACAAGGUUUCCGUAGGUGAACCUGCGGAAGGAUCAUUAAUGAAUUUUCACCACUCACCGUGGGUUGUAGCUGGCCUGCAGUUGCAUUUAGGCAUGUGCACGCCCCAGUGAUUUCAAAAUUCUUACACCCCUGUGUGCACCCCCCGACGGCAGAGAGGAGAGAGGAGAGGUUGGAAUGUUUCUCCUCGGUGAGAAACACGAAGGUCUCGCUUUUUCUUUCUUUUUGCGGUCUUUUUUUGUUUGUGUUGCUGAUGCACAACAACACACACCACAACACACACACACGUUAAUAGAUGAAUGUUAUUUUAUUUUUUUACAUCGACCGCGUUGCUCGUCGCGACGUGGGGGAAAAGAAAAUACAACUUUCAGCAACGGAUCUCUUGGCUCUCGCAUCGAUGAAGAACGCAGCGAAAUGCGAUAAGUAAUGUGAAUUGCAGAAUCCAGUGAAUCAUCGAAUCUUUGAACGCACCUUGCGCUCCUUGGUAUUCCGAGGAGCAUGCCUGUUUGAGUGUCAUGGUAUUCUCAAAUCCCCGCCCCUCUCUGGUUCUGGGAUUUGGACUUGGAGACAUGCUGGAAUUUCCGUGAUUUCGGCUUCUCUGAAAUGCAGUAGUGUGAACUUGUGGGUUGCACGUGACUCAGUGUGAUAAUUUAUCUGCGCUGUGUGCGGGGCGACCUGUGCUUUGUUGGGGUUCAUGCUUUCAAACAGUCUGUUCAGUCAGACAAAACCUGCUAUUGUGAUCUGACCUCNAAUCAGGUAGGACUACCCGCUGAACUUAAGCAUANC